GGCGGAUUAGUGUAGAGGCCUAGCACGCGACCCUCUCACGGUUGAGACUCGGGUUCGAAUCCCGGAUCCGCUA
rnacentral:tRNA from 2 species